rnacentral:rRNA from 1 species
UACGUAGGGGGCAAGCGUUGUCCGGAUUUAUUGGGCGUAAAGAGCGUGUAGGCGGCCUGAUAGGUCGGUUGUGAAAACUGGAGGCUUAACCUUCAGACGUCGACCGAAACCAUCUGGCUAGAGUCCGGAAGAGGAGAGUGGAAUUCCUGGUGUAGCGGUGAAAUGCGCAGAUAUCAGGAAGAACACCCGUGGCUAAGGCGGCUCUCUAGUACGGUACUGACGCUGAGACGCGAAAGCGUGGGGAGCGAACAGG